GUCGCAUUUUUCAGAAUAAUCAAAACAUCGUAAUAAUUUCUAAAUUUCUAUUAGAUCAAUGUAUUAAUCAUUUUUCAAUCUAUCUGACAUAGCAAUAACAGAAAUACAUCAUUUUCACAAAAAUAUAUUACAUAUUUCACAAAUUAAAUAUAGUAUUUCAAAUUCAGCAAAUCUAUAAUUGAAUUGUCUGUUGUAAAAUUAUCAAUACAAAUAUACAAGAUAAAAGGAUAAAAAUAUACAUUAUAUAAAUAUACAUCAAAUAGUAGUCCAUUUGCCAAUUCCCGUAAUUGACCCUCUAAUUAGAGACCUUUUUUUUGGUUGUCUCCCUUAUGAAGGACAUUUAUUUUCAUUAACAAUGGAGAGCUAGCAGAAAGAGCAAAUUUACCCGUGCAUAAUGUGAGUUAUCUUUAAGGUUUUGAAAUCUUUUAAUUACAUUAAUUUGUUGUUUAGGUAAAUACUUACAACAUCAGAAAUUAUUUUUCGUGAAAAAUUAGUUAAACCGCCAAUACAUCAUUUUCAAUUCAUCAUACUUUGCAUUGGCAAAAGCCAAUAUUGUCCGGUAUAGAACCAGUCUAAGUUUGACAAAGGAAAGUAAUUUGUUUAAAAAGUGUGUAAUAACAGAAUCAAAUCGGAAAUUGGCAAAUGGACUAUUGGGCCAUAUAAAAUGAAUGCUUAAUUCCUCAUCCCUGUAGUUUGUCCUCUUUUAUCCAUAGUGAAGAGAAGCAGUUGAAUAUUGCAAUUUGUAAAAAUCUACAUUUUAACUAAAAAUGGAUUCAGAAUUUUACAAUUGUCUAUAACAUCAUGGUAAGCAUGGCAGCAAUUGGAAAUAUGCUUCAAAAAUUAUAUAUCCAAAACUCUGUAUUAUUGCUAGAAAAGUAAUUUCAGAAAUUUUGAAAUAUAAGAAAAUGCCAUAUAAAUUCAAGAAAAAUUAUAUAAUAUUUUUUUUUAAAAACCCAGAUAAUUAGCAAAUAGCUAUAGGCAUAGGACAACAAAAUCUGGUGUAAAAUGGAGAAAACAAACAAUAUGAAAAAGUUUUUAUUUUAUUGCUUUAAUUCUUUAGGGGUCACCCUAAACCUGCAGCCGGGAUGAGAAUGUACUUAUUUUAUUGAUACGAAUAAAUGUAGGCUAUACAUAAGUGAAAGACCUUUUUAACAAAGCCUUUGAAAAAUUAUUUAUCGAAAAUCUAUUUCAUUCUUAAAACUUGAAUCUUUUAUCAACGUUAUAAAUAAAUUUCAACAUGCAAUGUUUAAAGCAUUGGUUAUUGAUCAAAUCUUGAUUUUCUUAACAUAUUUAUGAACUACUCCUCAAGCCAAAAGUACAUAUCACAUGGUAUAUCAGUAGGGUUACCGGUUAAUUUCCUGUCUAAGAAAAUAAACUCUUGGAUGAAAAAUAAUAAAAAUUGUCCCCUAGAAUAAUAUGAAGGUGGCCAUAUUUGUUCAAGUUAGGGCUUUCUAAUGAAAAACAAUAAUAUAUGAUUCAUUUGAAAAAGUUAACUUAUUUUCUAAGGUACCAAUUUUCAUGGAUUAAGGAAAACAUUCAUGUUUGUGGAUAUUUAAUUUUGUGGUUUUGCCAAGUUUGCAUUUAUGACUUUAGGAAAUUUGCCUUUCGUUGAACAUUAAAUUUUCUGGUUCACCAAUAUCCACGAAAAUUGGUAUCCAACAAAUGAUAAUGAAUCCAAAAUUACCUGCAAUUGAUGAUCUUGUUCUGAAUAGACAGGUCAAUGGACAAUUAUUAUUGUAUGAUCAUAAUGUAUUUACAUUGUAGAUGACAGAAAAUGUUUUCUUGAGGUAAUACAA
rnacentral:lncRNA from 1 species